GAACCCUCUGUAUCUCCUCAUCCUCCAAAUCAUCCCACCUUUCAAAACGAGGCAACAUGGCAACCGGUAUACGGAGGACUUUCCACCUACUAGGAGCAAAGUUCCAUCUUGUGAACUGGAAAGAAUCGUGCCAGAGUCUUCGGUUGAUGCUGAAGCUGAGGCCUGAUGUGGAAGGAGCUCAGUCUCGAGUGGAGGAAUGCCUGCACCUACACCUGCAAGAACAAGCACAUCAUCAUCACCAACAACAUCAUCAUCAUUAGAGGGGAUGUAGAUUGGAGCAUCGUUACCUGGGUUGUCACAACCUUGAUGAGAUCAGGAGGCUCGAUGAUGAAGUUCCCAACUUCUGAUGAGAAAAAGAUGACCUGCCUGAAGCCAGCCGGGAUAGGCUCCACCCCCCCACCCCCCGUGAGCCCUGACGGGAUAAGCGGUCAAGAUAAUGGAUGGAUGGAUGUAUGUUUGAUGACCUUGAUUGUCC